AGCAGCCGCGGUAAUUCCAGCUCCAAUAGCGUAUAUUAAAGUUGUUGCAGUUAAAAAGCUCGUAGUUGAAUUUCGGGACCAAUCUGCCGGUCGUGCCUCCGGUACGCACUGGUUUUAUUGGUCUCUCCCUUCUGACGAACCAUGAUGUCAUUAAUUUGGUGUCAUGGGGAAUCAGGACUGUUACUUUGAAAAAAUUAGAGUGUUUAUAGCAGGCCCACGCUUGAAUACAUUAGCAUGGAAUAAUGAAAUAGGACGUUUGACCCUAUUUUGUUGGUUUCUAGGAUCGACGUAAUGAUUAAUAGGGAUAGUUGGGGGGCAUUAGUAUUCAAUUGUCAGAGGUGAAAUUCUUGGAUUUAUUGAAGACUAACUACUGCGAAAGCAUUUGCCAAGGAUGUUUUCAUUAAUCAAGAACGAAAGUUAGGGGAUCGAAGACGAUCAGAUACCGUCGUAGUCUUAACCAUAAACUAUGCCGACUAGGGAUCGGAUGAUGUUAAUUUUUUUAAUGACUCAUUCGGCGCCU
rnacentral:rRNA from 1 species